GAGGCUGUAGCUCAGUCGGUAGAGCAACGGACUUUUAAUCCGUAGGCCGUGGGUUCAAGUCCCACCAGCCUCA
rnacentral:tRNA from 1 species